rnacentral:rRNA from 2 species
UGAGGAAUAUUGGACAAUGGAUGGAAAUCUGAUCCAGCCAUGCCGCGUGCAGGAUGACGGCCCUAUGGGUCUUAAACUGCUUUUGUAUGGGAGCAAUAAGUCUUACGUGUAGGAUGAUGAGAGUACCAUACGAAUAAGCAUCGGCUAACUCCGUGCCAGCAGCCGCGGUAAUACGGAGGAUGCAAGCGUUAUCCGGAUUUAUUGGGUUUAAAGGGUGCGUAGGCGGUCUUGUAAGUCAGUGGUGAAAUCUCCGGGCUCAACCCGGAACGUGCCAUUGAUACUGCAGGACUGGAAUGUGGAUGCCGUUUGCGGAAUGUGUGGUGUAGCGGUGAAAUGCAUAGAUAUCACACAGAACACCGAUUGCGAAGGCAGCAGACGAAUCCAUGAUUGACGCUGAGGCACGAAAGUGUGGGGAUCAAACAGG